AUACAGUCUUGAAAAUUGUCUUCUUCAGCUAUUUAUUUUCUUUUCGCGUUCUGUAAUUUUCACUUAACACCAUUUGACACAAGCUAUAUAAAAAAAAAAAGUAAAGGAAGAUCGACGAUAAAUUGACGAAGUUACAUUUAGUAAAAAAUAACGAUCAUGAAACAGACAGAUACGAAUAAUUGUGUGGAGGUAAAAAUCGCAAUGUGAUGAUUUGUAUCACGCGUUAAAAAGCACGCUACUCAUCCUUUUACUGGUUUAUACGAUAGUUGGCGGGAGACUGCAGGUCGUACAGACACGAGAGAGUUUACACGACGAGGCUCGCUUGCGUGAAUCAUCAUUCUAACUUUUCAUUGGCUAGAGCGUUCAGUGACGUCGCAAGCCGACUGAACACACGAGUUUGGCCGAAGACGGACAGCGGCUUGAACCGAAGCUCGAGGAUUCUUUUCUCUUAUCGUGCUGCUUCCUACUUUUCUCUCUCCUUCUUCUUCUCCUUCUUUUUCUUCUUUUUCUUCUUCUUCUUCUUACCUUUCUAUUUUUUUUCUUUUCCUUCUCGUACGACCGCAAGUUCCCCGGCGACCUUGUCGAGCGUGCUCGUAACGCAAAAGUACGCAAGAGGACGCGUAAAGUUGACUUUCUUUCUCUUUCUCUUUCUCCCUUUCUAAUCACUUCAAAUCUGAAAUAUCAAGGAGUUUUUGUCUCUUCCUUUUUCCAGAAGAAUCGAAGAGUCGAUAAGUAUAGAGAAUUGACUAAGUUUCCGCUGAAUCAAGUUCAUUGACUCAAGUAUUUCAAUACUAUAAUUUUAUGUCAAAGAAUUUUUAUAAAUUUCUUUGAUUACUUUCUGGCGGAUUAAAUGAGGUCACUCCAAGCUGACACCGAUGAUUAUUUGCAGUCAAGUUAAUUUACGUAUGUAGCUAUAACUUCGCCAUAUUGAAAUCAGUACGAUUAGAACUUGCCUAGAGUAUCAAGGUUAGAAUGGUAAUACGAUCUUUUCAAUGGAAGAUUCUAGCGUGAGGCAUCGUCGAUAAAUGGCGUACAUAUGUAUUUGUGUCAAAUAUAGUUUAUCCGUGUUCAUGCA